rnacentral:rRNA from 1 species
CCGGACACACUGAGGAUUGACAGGAAGUAUCGUCUUUUGAAUUCUUUAAGGAUAUGUCGUUUUUAAUGACAUCUUUUAGAUGGAUGAUUCGUGUAAAUAUGCUAGUUCUUUCAUGAUUAUGUGAUAGGUGGUGCAUGGCCGUUCUUAGUUCGUGGAGUGAUCUGUCUGCUUAAUUGCGUUUCACUAAGGCCCCAAAGUUAGCAAAUUAUCAAUCGUUACAGAGUCGACCCCUCACCUUUGAGUGCGCGUCCUAACUUGUAGUACAUGGUGUAAAUGGAUUUGUUUUGGGUACCCAGAAAGCAACGAACGUGACCGCAACGUCUUGUUGUCUCUCUUUGACAGUUAUGGGUUAUCCCAGUCAUGUGUUUAUACUUUUAUGUGUAAAUACGUACGACACAGAGACUAGAUACCAAACUAGGCGUACCGCUGUAUCAUUUCUUUAAACCAGAGGAAGGUUGCGGCAAUAACAG